rnacentral:rRNA from 1 species
AGAGUUUGAUCCUGGCUCAGGAUGAACGCUAGCGGCAGGCUUAACACAUGCAAGUCGAGGGGCAGCGAGAUUGAAGCUUGCUUCAAUUGUCGGCGACCGGCGGACGGGUGCGUAACGCGUAUGCAACCUACCCAUAACAGGGGGAUAACACUGAGAAAUUGGUACUAAUACCCCAUAACAUCUCGAGUGGCAUCACUUGGGGUUGAAAGCUUCGGUGGUUAUGGAUGGGCAUGCGUUGUAUUAGCUAGUUGGAGAGGUAACGGCUCACCAAGGCGACGAUACAUAGGGGGACUGAGAGGUUAACCCCCCACAUUGGUACUGAGACACGGACCAAACUCCUACGGGAGGCAGCAGUGAGGAAUAUUGGUCAAUGGACGGAAGUCUGAACCAGCCAUGCCGCGUGCAGGAUGACGGCUCUAUGAGUUGUAAACUGCUUUUGUACGAGGGUAAACCCGAAUACGUGUAUUCGGCUGAAAGUAUCGUACGAAUAAGGAUCGGCUAACUCCGUGCCAGCAGCCGCGGUAAUACGGAGGAUCCAAGCGUUAUCCGGAUUUAUUGGGUUUAAAGGGUGCGUAGGCGGUCAGAUAAGUUAGAGGUGAAAUUCCGGUGCUUAACACCGGCGCUGCCUCUAAUACUGUUUGACUAGAGAGUAGUUGCGGUAGGCGGAAUGUAUGGUGUAGCGGUGAAAUGCUUAGAGAUCAUACAGAACACCGAUUGCGAAGGCAGCUUACCAAGCUAUAUCUGACGUUGAGGCACGAAAGCGUGGGGAGCAAACAGGAUUAGAUACCCUGGUAGUCCACGCAGUAAACGAUGAUAACUCGUUGUCGGCGAUACAAUGUCGGUGACUAAGCGAAAGCGAUAAGUUAUCCACCUGGGGAGUACGUUCGCAAGAAUGAAACUCAAAGGAAUUGACGGGGGCCCGCACAAGCGGAGGAACAUGUG